rnacentral:rRNA from 1 species
UACGAACCGUACAAACGUUAUUCGGAAUCACUGGGCUUAAAGGGUUCGUAGGCGGCCAUGUAAGUGGGGUGUGAAAUCCCUCGGCUCAACCGAGGAACUGCGCUCCAUACUGCAUGGCUUGAGGGAGACAGGGGUAAGCGGAACUGAUGGUGGAGCGGUGAAAUGCGUUGAUAUCAUCAGGAACACCGGUGGCGAAAGCGGCUUACUGGGUCUCUUCUGACGCUGAGGUACGAAAGCUAGGGGAGCGAACGGG